rnacentral:rRNA from 1 species
ACUCCUACGGGAGGCAGCAGUGAGGAAUAUUGGUCAAUGGGCGCAAGCCUGAACCAGCCAUGCCGCGUGCAGGAUGACGGUCCUAUGGAUUGUAAACUGCUUUUGUACAGGAAGAAACACUCCGACGUGUCGGAGCUGACGGUACGU